rnacentral:rRNA from 1 species
UGAACGCUGGCGGCAUGCCUUACACAUGCAAGUCGAACGGCAGCACGGGUGCUUGCACCUGGUGGCGAGUGGCGAACGGGUGAGUAAUACAUCGGAACAUGUCCUGUAGUGGGGGAUAGCCCGGCGAAAGCCGGAUUAAUACCGCAUACGAUCUACGGAUGAAAGCGGGGGACCUUCGGGCCUCGCGCUAUAGGGUUGGCCGAUGGCUGAUUAGCUAGUUGGUGGGGUAAAGGCCUACCAAGGCGACGAUCAGUAGCUGGUCUGAGAGGACGACCAGCCACACUGGGACUGAGACACGGCCCAGACUCCUACGGGAGGCAGCAGUGGGGAAUUUUGGACAAUGGGCGAAAGCCUGAUCCAGCAAUGCCGCGUGUGUGAAGAAGGCCUUCGGGUUGUAAAGCACUUUUGUCCGGAAAGAAAUCCUUGGCUCUAAUACAGUCGGGGGAUGACGGUACCGGAAGAAUAAGCACCGGCUAACUACGUGCCAGCAGCCGCGGUAAUACGUAGGGUGCGAGCGUUAAUCGGAAUUACUGGGCGUAAAGCGUGCGCAGGCGGUUUGCUAAGACCGAUGUGAAAUCCCCGGGCUCAACCUGGGAACUGCAUUGGUGACUGGCAGGCUAGAGUAUGGCAGAGGGGGGUAGAAUUCCACGUGUAGCAGUGAAAUGCGUAGAGAUGUGGAGGAAUGCCGAUGGCGAAGGCAGCCCCCUGGGCCAAUACUGACGCUCAUGCACGAAAGCGUGGGGAGCAAACAGGAUUAGAUACCCUGGUAGUCCACGCCCUAAACGAUGUCAACUAGUUGUUGGGGAUUCAUUUCCUUAGUAACGUAGCUAACGCGUGAAGUUGACCGCCUGGGGAGUACGGUCGCAAGAUUAAAACUCAAAGGAAUUGACGGGGACCCGCACAAGCGGUGGAUGAUGUGGAUUAAUUCGAUGCAACGCGAAAAACCUUACCUACCCUUGACAUGGUCGGAAUCCCGCUGAGAGGUGGGAGUGCUCGAAAGAGAACCGGCGCACAGGUGCUGCAUGGCUGUCGUCAGCUCGUGUCGUGAGAUGUUGGGUUAAGUCCCGCAACGAGCGCAACCCUUGUCCUUAGUUGCUACGCAAGAGCACUCUAAGGAGACUGCCGGUGACAAACCGGAGGAAGGUGGGGAUGACGUCAAGUCCUCAUGGCCCUUAUGGGUAGGGCUUCACACGUCAUACAAUGGUCGGAACAGAGGGUUGCCAACCCGCGAGGGGGAGCUAAUCCCAGAAAACCGAUCGUAGUCCGGAUUGCACUCUGCAACUCGAGUGCAUGAAGCUGGAAUCGCUAGUAAUCGCGGAUCACGCAUGCCGCGGUGAAUACGUUCCCGGGUCUUGUACUCACCGC